AACGAACGCUGGCGGCAGGCCUCAAACAUGCAAGUCUAGGGGGUGCAGCAAUGCAUCACCGGCGGACGGGUGCGUAACGCGUGGGAAUAUACCUUUUGGUUCGGAACAACUGCGGGAAACUGCAGCUAAUACCGAAUGUGCCCUAACGGGGAAAGAUUUAUCGCCAAAGGAUUAGCCCGCGUAGGAUUAGCUAGUUGGUGAGGUAAUGGCUCACCAAGGCUCCGAUCCUUAGCUGUUCUGAGAGGAAGAUCAGCCACACUGGGACUGAGACACGGCCCAGACUCCUACGGGAGGCAGCAGUUGGGAAUCUUGGACAAUGGGGGAAACCCUGAUCCAGCCAUGCCGCGUGAGUGAUGAA
rnacentral:rRNA from 1 species